rnacentral:rRNA from 1 species
AUGAACGGGAAGAGUACUAUCGUACUAAUGCAAAUUCACAGGGAUAAUUCGGUCUUAGAUGGUCUACUGAUUUUGGAAAAGGGAAUUGUAUGUACUAAUACUGAACUAGCAAUAUCCUCCCCAGCCGAGCUCAUGCCUUGGAGCUUCCACCAUAUUGAACAAAUUCUGGUAAGCAACUCGAGGUACAAAGAUUCUGAUUUAAUCUUUGUAAAAGAAGCUAAAGCAAAGUUUUAUGAAGGAAAUGAUCAUGCCAUUGUCGGUGCUGUAACUUCGUGUUACAUUCAAAUGGUUAUGUUUGUCCGGUCAGGCUUAGAUUCAUUCUGCAACAACACAGUCUACCCUUAUGCGUAUAACCUGACUUCCUCCUACGCCAACCAGAAAAAUGAGGGCACCAUGGUGGCCACCUCUGUUCUCAUGUUCAUUCUUGCCGCGCUCUUCUUCAACCUCAACCUCUUCAGCCGCUUUUCCGACGUGAGCGCCAUCCUCAACCCCAGCGUCCGUCUCUUCCUCUCUACCUCGCUUUCCCUCUUCCUCCCAGUCAUGUCCUACCUCUUUUCCGAGACCAAGAACGAAGGUGCCACCAUUGCUACUAAUAGUAGUACCAAUAGCUCCAGUUACGGUCAGCUUGGUGACGAGCUGUCGCUGCGAGCAAGGACCAUCCUGAUGUGGAUGCUUCUUGUGGAGCUCCUCCGCAAGAAGGUGGAGGUGAUCCUGGUGAACGUGGGCAUGCAGGUGUACUCAGGCACCAUCGAUCGCUUUGCCCGCAUCGUUUGGCUGGGCUACCUCGUCUUCUACAACGUCAAAAGCGCAGGCAAGAAGGCAAUCUACGGCACCUUAUGGGUCCUUGCUGCUGCCAAGCUGCUGCAGCGGGUCGUCGUCAACGAGCUGUUCAAGCGUUCCUUCGCCUAUGGCAGGAACGCCCAGCUGCUAAACUCGUACAUGGCCCAGGUCAUGCAACAACAGCAAGGGCAGGCCGGGAAUGUCCAGGAGCUGGGGUCGGAGCUGCUGAAGAUGUGCAAGUACACCGUGAUGGGAGAAGACAACUUGGGGAAGGAAGCAGGUCCCCAUGGCUACCAAGUCGAUCUGAAGAAGACGACUACCGCAGACACCGCCGGCACUGGCUCCACCAUUGUCACGGUUGGUGACAUUUGGAAGCUCGUAGCUAGCGAGGAGGACGGUCUGCUCCAGAAAGACCCAAGACUCAGAAGGCUCUGCCUCUCCUUUGCUCUCUACAAGCUGCUGCGCCGUAGGUUUGAGGACAUCCCCAUCACCAGCGAGGAGACCCACAAUUGUCGGGACCUCAUCUUCCAAGGUUUGUACCAGGAGAAGCUGCCUAAGGAUGAGGAGGAGCAAGACGCGGAGGUUGCACUGCUCCAAGUCUUCAACGACGAGAUCCAAUUCAUCUGCGAGUACUACCACUCCGUUCUACCGGUCGUGUUCUCCAACCCUUUCUUCUUCCUAGCCAACUACAUCUUGUUUCCAAUUGUAGUUUGGGCCUUCUGCUUCUUGACUUUCAUUGCCUGUGGCAAUGGGAACGUGCUCUAUGCCUACCAUAGCAUCACGAGUGACAACUACAUCAUCUAUACCGGUGCACCAACACUGGUCAAAUGCCUCCUGAAAAGCAUCACCCAUUCACCGGAGGUGCUAUUCGCCAGUGUCGACCUAGGCACCACCACUCUGCUUAUACUCACCUUCAUCUACGAGGAAGUCUGGGAGUUCCUCGUCUUCAUCCUAUCCAACUGGCUCAUUGUGUCGCUACUCUGUGAGUACACCGCUAAGCGCCCCUGGCGUGAGAGUAGCAUCGUAAGCGGGCUCAUGCGCCGCAUCCUAUGGGCGCGAAGUAAGCUAAGCCACCCUAACCUCUGCUUCAAGCAAUUCUCCGUGCUAGGGUUCUGCCCACUGUCGUCGCUUUCCUCCUUCACAAUGCCUACCAAGGCAGUGCCCAAGGAAGUAAAGAAGUCCAUCGUGGAAUACGUGGUGGCUCACAUGGAUGACUAUGACAUUGAUGGCCACGCUGACCCUCUCAAUAGUGGUUGGUCAACACUGCAGUUGAACAAGCACAGGGCAUACCAACCCUUGCUCUCGUCGGUUUGUGAGAGCAAGAGCAUCGCCGAGUUCAUCCUCACCUGUCACAUUGCCACUGGCCUCUUGGAGAUGACGUAUCCGCAGAAGGAGAAAGAGAUGGGGCAUCAUCGUAAGGUAGCAACGACACUGUCCAAGUACUGCGCUUACUUGGUGGGCUUUUCCCCAGAGCUGCUCCCUGAAGACAAGGAUGGGACAGAGCAUGCUUACAACGACAUGAAGAAGGAGUUGAAGAAGGAGCUUGGUGGUUGUUGGCGGUACCACUUAUCACUGCGAGGAACCAGGUACAAGAGGCUCACAGAGAUCGGCGAAUCACAGCAACAGGCGGUGACGGUGGUGCAGAAGGGGGGUAAGUUGGGUAAGGCUUUGAUUGAGAAGGCCAAAGAAAAUGACACGGGUGAGUUUGUGUGGGAGCUUCUGGCCGAUCUAUGGACGGAGCUCAUGGUGUACAUUGCACCGUCGGGCGGCGAGUUGCACGUGAAGGCCCACAAGGAGUCACUCGCGCAUGGCGGCGAGUUCAUCACCGUGCUAUGGGCACUGUGCACACAUACUGGCAUAACCAGGCUAGCCCUUGCACCCAGGGAGGCAGCACAUGGUUCAUUUGAACCGUAG